AAAUGACUAAACCAUGAUAUUUCAACAACCAACGUUAACAUGAUAUUCAAAUUAACAAUCUUAAAUAUGAAAGAAACUACAGAAAUCAACUACUGAUCCAACUAAUUGAACAGUUUAUGAAAAAUAAACUAGUCUACAUCCUAAUAUAUGAAAUUCUUCCUAAAUCAUUGUCCAUUCAACAGAUUACAUAGUAACCAAAAUAAACUGAAAGUACAUAGACUAAGAAUAGACAUAGAAAUUCAAGAAAACACAUGUAUGAGGAACUAAAAGUCCAUGAUUCAUUCAUUGAAGUUCUCACUACAAUUACAUAUAUCAAAGUACUUCUAUACUUCAGCAGUCAUCAUAGGCCAAGAGAAUACCUGGAGAGCAAGAGCAAAAUGAUGAGAAUACAAGGAAAUUCUAUGAAGCAAGCAAGCAAAGAAGCAGCAAAUGACCAACUAGCAAACAGCUUCAGCUCAAACCCAUAUUGGAAUCAGAAAUCCAGAAAAAGAACUUAGGAAUGUGUUUGUUUCUUUCAGGAAGGAAAAUCAAAAGUGAAAAAACCAUUCAACUCUCUCACACAAUGCAAAAAUUUUGUAUAUUUUCUAUGGGUUCCAAUGUCUGCCUAAAAAUGGAGGAAAAGAGUCCUUAAAUAGGCACUUCUAAGGCAGCCCUAGCCUGGUUUUCUAAUUCCCCUUCUACCCCUUAUUUUCUUAAUUAUUUACCCCUUAACCCCUCCUUAUCCCUUAACAAACUAGCCUAACCUUAUCCUCUAGAAGCUUCCCAUAACAGAAAAUAUCCCCCCCCCCCCUCCCCCGCAAUUUACUUUUCAAUACAGACCCAAGACCCAAAGGAAACCUACAGGCCAGCAACCCAAGAGAGGCUCAAGCAACAACAUCUAAUGGAUUUAACCAAAGUGAAACCUUAAGAAACUGAUUUAAUAAAUAAACGAGAUUAAAUUUUAAAAAAAUGCAAAUUGUGACUGGCCUUAAACUAAAACAUGCUAAAAAAGUAUUAAUAAUUAACUAAUUUAAACAACAAACGAAAUGAAAGCAACAUGCUUGAUGAAUGCCCUAAACUUAAGAAAUUAUCAUAAACAUGAAUAACGCCUAAUUUGAUUCAAACAACUGGAUAACAACAACUACAUGGAGCAUAUAAAUAACCUAAACAAUUUUAGAUGAACAGAUGUUUAGAAUUGAAAGAAGAAGUUAGAAAAUAAACAAAGAAAAUAUAUAAAUAAAACAAAGAGAAGAACUGAGUUACUGGCUAAGCACUAGAAAACUCUAUUAAUCCAUAGAUUAUGACUGCCCUAAUUCUUUUAUUAUUUUUUCGGUCAAGAGAAAAGGGAUAUAAAGAAGCAAAUUAAAGAAAGGUGGAAGAAAAGAAAGGGUAAUAGGAGGAGAAAUCACAGAAAUAGAUAGAGAGAAAAACAAAAGGAAAUACCUAGCGAUUGACUUAAAGAACUCUGGCUGCUCCGAUUUAAGCCCAAAAUUAAUGUUAAUCGCAUGUUCUUUGUUAAGAACAAACGACCAACAUCAACUUCACGCUAAAUCAUCCCUAGAACUUGAAGGCUUGAGGCUUAACCUUGCAUGCCACAGAUCCGAAGUCGGGUGGAUUCGGUCGAGCAUUUGGGAAAACUGUUGAGGGGCUUGAGUUUAUAGGUGUGUGAUGAUUAUACGGUGUGAUUUUGGGUGGAUUUGUAGAGUUAGGUUUUUGGAGAUUCUGAUUUUAGAUCCAAGAUUUAAGAAGUUUGAGGGGGAUUUGGGGAAGAAGACCAUGAGAUUUGAAAAGAGGAAGGUGAGGAGAUCUUGUGGUGUUAAUUUGAAGGGGAUUGGAGUGGUCUGGGGCGUCGCCGCCGGCGGAGACGGUGGGGGUUUUUAGGGCGGCGGUCUCUAUGGUUAGAUGAGGGAGAUGAAGGUUAGGGC
rnacentral:lncRNA from 1 species